CAAUUUUAUGUUUACCAGAACACUCAGACAAACUCGUGGAAUACAACAACACUAUUUAUAGAAGAUACAGCCGAGUAAUUUUUAAUUUAGUGUACUAGCACGGGAAACGACAAUCUAUAGUGAGAGAUAUCAUAAACCCGAUAUUAAUCUCCUUAAAUCAAAAUGCCAAUUCUGGUUGAAAGACGAUGUCAGGAAAACAUUUAAAGAAAUGAUGCUACAAUUGGAGGACACAACUAGUUCAACACUAGAACAAAUGUCUUCAUUGUUAGCUACUUGAGUGUGCAGUUAUUAUUUUUCAUGUUUUCUUUUAAUAUAAACCGGUGCCCACCUUUAUGGAUCAAAGAUUUCAGGACAGACAGAAGCCAACAUUUCCUCCAUCUAUACAACAAUUAUCAGCACAAAUGUUGUAGCUUCAAUAGAGCCGUCACAACAAGACCACAGAGGACAAAACAUGCAGCAAGUUUGUUAUAGUCUCUGCUAAACAAGCUAGACGUCACUGACAUGACUACUGGUUCACUAGAAAGAAAAUAUCUCCAGGAAGAGGAAAACAUCAACACAUUCUAUGAUAAACUCACACGUUUUGGUGGCAAGCUAAAAUCUCAAGGAGAGAAAUAAAACAUCAAGAUAGACGAAUAGAUGAGUUAGAGAAAAACAUGGAACUGUUAAGAAGAAAUCUAAAACAAAAAGAAGAAUGGAGAAGACAACAGUCUCAUAACUUAAAUCAAAUGAUGACAUCAAUACAAGAAAAAAAAUCAAGUUCUGGUAACAGAGUGGAGCAAUGUGUCAAAUACUAGCAAAAAGAUUUUCACAAUUUGAGUCUUUACAUAAUGUCUUCAAUCAACUGAUGAAAGAAAGAGAAGGAAACUUUGAUCAAAGCUGCCGAUGGAGUACGAGGAAAUCUGCAGUUCUCGAGCUGGUUAGUCAAGCUAAAGUUUUUUUUUUUGACAAUGAAAUAUCUAAACAAGAU